CCAGGUACAAUACUAGUCUGACCCCUUGUUCCAGGUACAAUACUAGUCUGACCCCAUGGUCCAGGUACAAUACUAGUCUGACCCCUUAGUCCAGGUACAAUACUAGUCUGACCCCAUGGUCCAGGUAUAAUACUAGUCUGACCCCAUGGUCCAGGUAUAAUACUAGUCAGACCCCAUGGUCUAGGUACAGUACUGGUCUGACCCCUUGGUCCAGGUACAAUACUAGUCUGACCUCAUGGUCCAGGUACAAUACUAGUCUGACCCCUUGGUCCAGGUACAAUACUAGUCUGACCCCAUGGUCCAGGUACAAUACCAGUCUGACCCUAUGGUCCGGGUACAAUACUAUACUAGUCUGACCCCACGGUCCAGGUAAAAUACUACUCUGACCCCAUGGUCCAGGUACAAUACUAGUCUGACCCCAUGGUCCAGGUACAAUACUAGUCUGACCCCAUGGUCCAGGUACAAUACUAUACUAGUCUGACCCCUUGGUCCAGGUACAAUACUAGUCUGACCCCUUGGUCCAGGUACAAUACCAGUCUGACCCCAUGGUCCAGGUACAAUACUAGUCUGACCCCAUGGUCCAGGUACAAUACUAGUCUGACCCCAUGGUCCAGGUACAAUACUACUCUGACCCCAUGGUCCAGGUACAAUACUAGUCUGACCCCAUGGUCCUGGUACAAUACUAAUCUGACCCCAUGGUCCAGGUACAAUACUGGUCUGACCCCAUGGUCCAGGUAUAAUACUAUACUAGUCUGACCCCAUGGUCCAGGUACAAUACUAGUCUGACCCCAUGGUCCUGGUACAAUACUAGUCUGACCCCAUGGUCCAGGUACAAUACUAGUCUGACCCCAUGGUCCAGGUACAAUACUAGUCUGACCCCAUGGUCCAGGUACAAUACUAGUCUGACCCCACGGUCCAGGUAAAAUACUACUCUGACCCCAUGGUCCAGGUACAAUACUAGUCUGACCCCAUGGUCCAGGUACAAUACUAGUCUGACCCCAUGGUCCAGGUAUUAUACUAGUCUGACCCCAUGGUCCAGGUAUAAUACUAUACUAGUCUGACCCCAUGGUCCAGGUACAAUACUAGUCUGACCCCAUGGUCCAGGUAUAAUACUAGUCUGACCCCAUGGUCCAGGUAUAAUACUAGUCUGACCCCAUGGUCUAGGUACAGUACUGGUCUGACCCCUUGGUCCAGGUACAAUACUAGUCUGACCCCUUGGUCCAGGUACAAUACUAGUCUGACCCCAUGGUACAGGUACAAUACCAGUCUGACCCCAUGGUCCGGGUACAAUACUAUACUAGUCUGACCCCACGGUCCAGGUAAAAUACUACUCUGACCCCAUGGUCCAGGUACAAUACUAGUCUGACCCCAUGGUCCAGGUACAAUACUAGUCUGACCCCAUGGUCCAGGUAUUAUACUAGUCUGACCCCAUGGUCCAGGUAUAAUACUAUACUAGUCUGACCCCAUGGUCCAGGUACAAUACUAGUCUGACCCCAUGGUCCAGGUACAAUACUAUACUAGUCUGACCCCUUGGUCCAGGUACAAUACUAGUCUGACCCCAUGGUCCAGGUACAAUACUAGUCUGACCCCAUGGUCCAGGUACAAUACUAGUCUGACCCCAUGGUCCAGGUACAAUACUAGUCUGACCCCAUGGUCCAGGUACAAUACUAGUCUGACCCCAUGGUCCAGGUACAAUACUAGUCUGACCCCAUGGUCCAGGUACAAUACUAGUCUGACCCGAUGGUCCAGGUACAAUACUAGUCUGACCCCAUGGUCCAGGUAUAAUACUAGUCUGACCCCAUGGUCCAGGUACAAUACUAGUCUGACCCCUUGGUCCAGGUACAAUACUAGUCUGACCCCAUGGUCCAGGUACAAUACCAGUCUGACCCCAUGGUCCAGGUACAAUACUAGUCUGACCCCUUGGUCCAGGUACAAUACCAGUCUGACCCCAUGGUCCAGGUACAAUACUUCUCUGACCCCAUGGUCCAGGUACAAUACUAGUCUGACCCCUUGGUCCAGGUACAAUACCAGUCUGACCCCAUGGUCCAGGUACAAUACUACUCUGACCCCAUGGUCCAGGUACAAUACUAGUCUUACCCCAUGGUCCUGGUACAAUACUAAUCUGACCCCAUGGUCCAGGUACAAUACUAGUCUGACCCCAUGGUCCAGGUAUUAUACUAGUCUGACCCCAUGGUCCAGGUAUAAUACUAUACUAGUCUGACCCCAUGGU